UACGGGGGGGGCAAGCGUUGUUCGGAAUUACUGGGCGUAAAGGGCUCGUAGGCGGCCAACUAAGUCAGACGUGAAAUCCCUCGGCUUAACCGGGGAACUGCGUCUGAUACUGGUUGGCUUGAAUCCGGGAGAGGGAUGUGGAAUUCCAGGUGUAGCGGUGAAAUGCGUAGAUAUCUGGGGGAACACCGGUGGCGAAGGCGGCAUCCUGGACCGGUAUUGACGCUGAGGAGCGAAAGCCAGGGGAGCAAACGGG
rnacentral:rRNA from 1 species